rnacentral:rRNA from 1 species
CGCGUAGACGGUUUUGUAAGUCAGAUGUGAAAUCCCCGGGCUCAACCUGGGAACUGCAUUUGAGACUGCAUGGCUAGAGUAUCGAAGAGGGAAGUGGAAUUUCCGGUGUAGCGGUGAAAUGCGUAGAUAUCGGAAGGAACACCAGUGGCGAAAGCGACUUCCUGGUCGAAUACUGACGUUCAUGUGCGAAAGCGUGGGGAGCAAACAGGAUUAGAUACCCUGGUAGUCCACGCCAUAAACGAUGACAACUAGAUGUUGGGAGGGUCUGCCUCUCGGUGUCGCAGCUAACGCGUUAAGUUGUCCGCCUGGGGAGUACGGCCGCGAAGGUUGAA